GNGCUGAAGAUUGCACAGGCCAUUUGCA
rnacentral:piRNA from 1 species